CAAAUGGUGAUGCUUCUAACAGCGAAUGUUUUAUAGCAAUGAAGUUUCCAAGCUAUUCUGGGGAGAGAAAAGUUUACUGAUCCACCCAAGCCUGCGAUAUAGGUGGAAGAUCUUUACCCCACAGCUGUCAUGACGGGGAGGAGCACUGGGACCAGGUGGUCUGUGCUUCAGGGUUUAACACUACCCACUCAAAGGGUGAGCGGGACCCUGUCACGAUGUGGUAUUUAAAUAUGCCACCUGCACAUUAGCGUUGUAGAAGAACAUGGUGAAAUGAACCUAUUUAUAUGUAAAGCAUCCCACACAAUGAAUUAAGAGAAGCAUGGGGGAAAAAAAAUUGUUCUUUACUAUACUGUUCCUUUCAUGCUCAAAAUCCAGCCAAAUAUGGGAAAUUUGAAAGUUUCUAGAAAAUAGUUUUGACCUACUACACAAGGCACAAGAAGCCAGAAAGCAGAACCGGUGCCAGCAGCGUUCUGGUGAUUGAUAUGCUCCCACCUGAUGUACAUGUCAAAAUUUCCAGCAUGCCGCUGCGAGCCAGGGUGUUAAUUUGUCUGCUUAUUCACAAUGUGAGAGCUAUAAAAGUGUGAAAGAAACUGUAAUGACAGACUAAUAAAUAAUACUCUCCUGGUGCGAGCAGCCUCUGCAAAGCUGCCCCUGCAGUUGUCUCACUGAGCAUCAAGAAUGUAGCAAAACGGUUCAUUUAAAUUUGUCUAAUAAAUAUUCAUUAGGCUGAACGUGUCAAUUAGUGCUGCGGCUGCUGCUUGCCAGGACACACAGGCACCAGCACCGGCCCCGGCCCCGGCCCNNNNNNNNNNNNNNNNNNNNNNNNNNNNNNNNNNNNNNNGGCACCGGCCCCGGCCCCGGCCCCAGCGCAGCGGCUCCAGCGCAGCCCUUGGCCUCGCCAUCGCACAGUUUCCAGGCACAUCACCAGGAGCAAAAGGAGAUCAAUAUUUUUCAAGUUACUGACCUUUAAUGCUGGUCUGAGCACAGGAUGUCGAAGGGAUCAAACCGAACAAAACCAGGACGAGGUUGAUG
rnacentral:lncRNA from 1 species